UACGGAGGAUGCGAGCGUUAUCCGGAUUCAUUGGGUUUAAAGGGUGUGUAGGCGGACUUUUAAGUCAGUGGUGAAAUCUCUCGGCUCAACCGAGAAACUGCCAUUGAUACUGGAAGUCUUGAGUUUAGGUGAAGUGGGCGGAAUAUGUCAUGUAGCGGUGAAAUGCAUAGAUAUGACAUAGAACACCGAUAGCGAAGGCAGCUCACUAAUCUAUAACUGACGCUGAUGCACGAAAGCGUGGGUAGCGAACAGG
rnacentral:rRNA from 1 species